rnacentral:rRNA from 1 species
AUAGCUUGCCAACACUCAUAUAUAUAUAUAUCAGAAAGAUUAUAUAUAUCAGAAAGAUUUAGUAUUUGGUGAAGUGACAAACUUAGUGGCGGACGGGUGAGUAACGCGUGAACAAUCUGCCCUGUACAAAGGAAUAGCCUCGGGAAACCGGGAUUAAAACCGUAUGACACUUUUUUGCCGCAUGGUAGUAAAGUCAAAUAUUUCAUAGGUAUGGGAUGAGUUCGCGUCUGAUUAGCUGGUUGGUAAGGUAACGGCUUACCAAGGCGACGAUCAGUAGCCGGCCUGAGAGGGUGAACGGCCACACUGGAACUGAGACACGGUCCAGACUCCUACGGGAGGCAGCAGUGGGGAAUAUUGCACAAUGGAGGGAACUCUGAUGCAGCGACGCCGCGUGAGUGAAGAAGGUCUUCGGAUCGUAAAACUCUGUCCUUGGUGAAGAAAAGGACGGUAGCCAAGGAGGAAGCCCCGGCUAACUACGUGCCAGCAGCCGCGGUAAUACGUAGGGGGCGAGCGUUGUCCGGAUUUACUGGGCGUAAAGGGUGAGUAGGCGGUUAUAUAUGUCAGGUGUAAAAGGCACAGGCUUAACUUGUGUUAGCACUUGAAACUGUAUAACUUGAGUGCAGGAGAGGUAAGCGGAAUUCCUAGUGUAGCGGUGAAAUGCGUAGAUAUUAGGAGGAACACCAGUGGCGAAGGCGGCUUACUGGACUGUAACUGACGCUGAGUCACGAAAGCGUGGGUAGCAAACAGGAUUAGAUACCCUGGUAGUCCACGCUGUAAACGAUGAGUGCUAGGUGUUGGGUAGCGAUACUCAGUGCCGGAGUCAACACAAUAAGCACUCCGCCUGGGGAGUACGUACGCAAGUAUGAAACUCAAAGGAAUUGACGGGGACCCGCACAAGCAGCGGAGCAUGUGGUUUAA